rnacentral:rRNA from 1 species
GCCUACAUGAAGUUGGAAUCGCUAGUAAUCGCGAAUCAGAAUGUCGCGGUGAAUACGUUCCCGGGUCUUGUACACACCGCCCGUCACACCACGAGAGUUUACAACACCCGAAGUCAGUGGCCUAACCGCAAGGAGGGAGCUGCCUAAGGUGGGGUAGAUGAUUGGGGUGAAGUCGUAACAAGGUAAC